UCCAGAGUCCGCGGGAAUGAGCGUGGCGGUCGUAGACGUGGUUCCGUAGGCUCCACCAGGGAAGAUGAGGAGUUCGGGGUUCCGAGCAUAGAUAACCUGCUCCUCAUCCAACUGGUGGAGGCGCGUCCAGCAUUAUGGGACCACUCCGACCGCCACCACGCCGAUCAUCGUCGUACCCAGCGGCUCUGGAGGGACAUCUGUGCUGAAGUUUUUGAGACCUGGGGGGAUCUCGAUGCGGCGGCUCAGGAGAAAUAUGGUAAGUAAAACAAUAUGUAUUUUAAUACUUUAAAAUAUUGUUCUUUUCCUUUCAUCAUGCUGAUUUUAGUUUUUAUUGUUUUUUUCGAUAGUCAAACUGGUUACAACGCGUUGGCGAUCUAUCCGGGACCGCUUCAGGAGGGAUUACAACAAGGAGGUUCAAGCCCCGAGUGGCUCCGGAGGAACCUCAGGGACCACCUACAUCCAUACGGCGGCCCUGGGGUUCCUACGAAAGGCAAUGGCACCAAAAAGAAGUGCCAGCAGCACUCGGGAGCCUGACCAACCUCCUGAGGCGGAACCGGAACAGAUC